AUCCCAGAUAAGCUGAAUCCUGGUGUUUAUCUGAUUCAUGGGAGGCCAAAAGCAAUAAUGGAAGUUUCGCUGAUAAUGCCCUUUGCUUGUAUUACUAAAGGCAUUUACUAGUAACUUUGCCAUACAUGA